rnacentral:rRNA from 1 species
UAAACCAUGCACCGAAGCUGCGGCAGCGACACUAUGUGUUGUUGGGUAGGGGAGCGUUCUGUAAGCCUGCGAAGGUGGCCUGUGAGGGUUGCUGGAGGUAUCAGAAGUGCGAAUGCUGACAUAAGUAACGAUAAAGCGGGUGAAAAGCCCGCUCGCCGGAAGACCAAGGGUUCCUGUCCAACGUUAAUCGGGGCAGGGUGAGUCGACCCCUAAGGCGAGGCCGAAAGGCGUAGUCGAUGGGAAACAGGUUAAUAUUCCUGUACUUGGUGUUACUGCGAAGGGGGGACGGAGAAGGCUAUGUUAGCCGGGCGACGGUUGUCCCGGUUUAAGCAUGUAGGCUGGUUAUCCAGGCAAAUCCGGAUAAUCAAGGCUGAGGUGUGAUGACGAGGCACUACGGUGCUGAAGUAACAAAUGCCCUGCUUCCAGGAAAAGCCUCUAAGCAUCAGGUAACAUCAAAUCGUACCCCAAACCGACACAGGUGGUCAGGUAGAGAAUACCAAGGCGCUUGAGAGAACUCGGGUGAAGGAACUA